AGAGUUUGAUCCUGGCUCAGGAUGAACGCUAGCGGCAGGCUUAACACAUGCAAGUCGAGGGGCAGCGGGGAGGAAGCUUGCUUUCUCCGCCGGCGACCGGCGCACGGGUGAGUAACACGUAUGCAACCUGCCCCUGUCAGGGGGACAACCCGCCGAAAGGCGGGCUAAACCCGCGUACAUGCCACCGGGGCAUCCCGGAGGCAGGAAAGGCUUCGGCCGGACAGGGAUGGGCAUGCGGCGCAUUAGGCAGUAGGCGGGGUAACGGCCCACCUAACCGACGAUGCGUAGGGGUUCUGAGAGGAAGGUCCCCCACACUGGUACUGAGACACGGACCAGACUCCUACGGGAGGCAGCAGUGAGGAAUAUUGGUCAAUGGUCGGGAGACUGAACCAGCCAAGCCGCGUGAGGGAGGAAGGUACAGAGUAUCGUAAACCUCUUUUGUCAGGGAACAAAGGCGGGGACGUGUCCCCGGAUGAGUGUACCUGAAGAAAAAGCAUCGGCUAACUCCGUGCCAGCAGCCGCGGUAAUACGGAGGAUGCGAGCGUUAUCCGGAUUUAUUGGGUUUAAAGGGUGCGCAGGCGGUCUGUUAAGUCAGCGGUCAAAGCCCGGGGCUCAACCCCGGCCCGCCGUUGAAACUGGCAGUCUCGAGUUGGAGAGAGGUAUGCGGAAUGCGCGGUGUAGCGGUGAAAUGCAUAGAUAUCGCGCAGAACUCCGAUUGCGAAGGCAGCAUGCCGGCUCCACACUGACGCUGAGGCACGAAAGCGUGGGUAUCGAACAGGAUUAGAUACCCUGGUAGUCCACGCAGUAAACGAUGAAUGCUGGCUGUCCGGGGGGACUGACCCCUGGGUGGCGAAGCGAAAGCGAUAAGCAUUCCACCUGGGGAGUACGCCGGCAACGGUGAAACUCAAAGGAAUUGACGGGGGCCCGCACAAGCGGAGGAACAUGUGGUUUAAUUCGAUGAUACGCGAGGAACCUUACCCGGGCUCAAACGGGGAGUGGCGCAGGCAGAGACGCCUGUUUCCCACGGGACACUCCCCGAGGUGCUGCAUGGUUGUCGUCAGCUCGUGCCGUGAGGUGUCGGCUUAAGUGCCAUAACGAGCGCAACCCCCGCGUGCAGUUGCUAACAGUCAACGCUGAGGACUCUGCACGGACUGCCGGCGCAAGCCGCGAGGAAGGCGGGGAUGACGUCAAAUCAGCACGGCCCUUACGUCCGGGGCGACACACGUGUUACAAUGGGUGGUACAGCGGGAAGCCAGGCGGCGACGCCGAGCGGAACCCGAAAUCCACUCUCAGUUCGGAUCGGAGUCUGCAACCCGACUCCGUGAAGCUGGAUUCGCUAGUAAUCGCGCAUCAGCCAUGGCGCGGUGAAUACGUUCCCGGGCCUUGCACACACAGCCCGUCAAG
rnacentral:rRNA from 1 species